rnacentral:tRNA from 1 species
GCCGCCUUCGUCUAGUGGUUAGGACUUCAGAUUCUCAAUCUGGCAACGGGGGUUCAAUUCCCCUAGGCGGUA